CUAGUAGACGACGUAGUUGAUCAGUGGCUACAGGACGAACGCUGGCGGCGCGCCUAACACAUGCAAGUCGAACGAGAGAGAGGAAGCUUGCUUCCUCAAUCGAGUGGCGAACGGGUGAGUAACGCGUGAGGAACCUGCCUCAAAGAGGGGGACAACAGUUGGAAACGACUGCUAAUACCGCAUAAGCCCACAGGUCGGCAUCGACCAGAGGGAAAAGGAGCAAUCUGCUUUGAGAUGGCCUCGCGUCCGAUUAGCUAGUUGGUGAGGUAAUGGCCCACCAAGGCAACGAUCGGUAGCCGGACUGAGAGGUUGAACGGCCACAUUGGGACUGAGACACGGCCCAGACUCCUACGGGAGGCAGCAGUGGGGAAUAUUGCACAAUGGGGGAAACCCUGAUGCAGCGACGCCGCGUGGAGGAAGAAGGUCUUCGGAUUGUAAACUCCUGUUGUUGAGGAAGAUAAUGACGGUACUCAACAAGGAAGUGACGGCUAACUACGUG
rnacentral:rRNA from 1 species